UCCCAGUUCGGAUCGGAGCCUGCAACCCGGCUCCGUGAAGCUGGAUUCGCUAGUAAUCGCGCAUCAGCCAUGGCGCGGUGAAUACGUUCCCGGGCCUUGUACACACCGCCGUCAAGCCAUGGGAGCCGGGGGCGCCUGAAGUGCGGUACCGCGAGGGCCGCCCAAGGGCGAGACCGGUGACUGGGGCUAAGUCGUAACAAGGUAUC
rnacentral:rRNA from 1 species